rnacentral:rRNA from 1 species
AGCAGCCGCGGUAAUUCCAGCUCCAAUAGCGUAUAUUAAAGUUGUUGCAGUUAAAAAAGCUCGUAGUUGAAUUUCGGGAUCAAUAUGUUGGUCGUGCCUUGGUACGUACUGGCAUUAUCGAUUCCUACCUUCUGAAGAACCUCGAUGUCAUUAAUUUGGUGUCUUGGGGAAUCAGGACUGUUACUUUGAAAAAAUUAGAGUGUUUAAAGCAGGCUCGCGCUUGAAUACAUUAGCAUGGAAUAAUGAAAUAGGACGUUUGAUUCUAUUUUGUUGGUUUCUAGGAUCGACGUAAUGAUUAAUAGGGAUAGUUGGGGGCAUUAGUAUUCAAUUGUCAGAGGUGAAAUUCUUGGAUUUAUUGAAGACUAACUACUGCGAAAGCAUUUGCCAAGGAUGUUUUCAUUAAUCAAGAACGAAAGUUAGGGGAUCGAAGACGAUCAGAUACCGUCGUAGUCUUAACCAUAAACUAUGCCGACUAGGGAUCGGAUGAUGUUAAUUUUUUAAUGUACUCAUUCGGACGUCC